CCCUCGCGAGGCCGAGGUGCGCCGGAAGUGGCGGCGACUGUGGCGACGGAGACGAGAAGACUGUGCUGGCCGCGAGUUGUGGGGUUUGGGUCACUGGCUGGGGUCUGGAGUCCCCGGAGGUUAGGGCUUCGACCCGCGCGACACCUGGGGCCCUCGGUCUGAGCGGGAGCAGUGAAGUUCUGGCCCCGCUUCAUCCGCGACGGCAUUUUAGGCCUGCCUCUCUUGCUCCUGUUUCCCGGAGCAGUGCAUAGAGAUCCAUAGACAUGUAUAAUUCGAACCCUACGUGGAUCUGCUCAUUCUAAACUCGCCCAACCCUCGUCGUUCUUAGCCUGUGAACCCGCACUAUUCUUGUCCCAGCAGGUAGCUCCACGGUCCUUCUGUCUCUCUUCUGCUUGCACAUCCCGUUUUCCCUUGGGAGUCCCUUGUUUCUGGCAGUGUGCCUGUGGAUUAGACCGGAUCCCUCCAGCCCCUUCUUCCUAUGUGUGAAGACAAACCGACAGGCUUUUGGUUUUAGGCUUUUUGCUAUUGAUUACUAUGAUUAUAGCCGGUAAAACAUCCAUAGCACAUAUUAGGUACCAAGCGUGGCGUUAAGUGCUUUUACAUAUAUUAACUCAUUUAAUAUUUGGACAAACACCAAAAGCUAGGUCCGAUUACUAUCCCCAAUUUGCAAAUCAGGGAACCAAGGCCCAGAUAAAUGAAGUGUGUUGAAUAAGGUUACACAGCUAGCAAAUCACCUGCUUUAGGACUGCAUCAUCCUUAAAAUUGUUAGUAGUACCUGGUCAAAGCAACAUAAAUAUUAGAAAAUUUCAUAAUUAUUAAAUAGUAUAUGUAAUUUUAUUGAAAAAUGCAUAUUGUUGCUUUUUAGAGUUCCUACAUCUGUGGCUGAAUAUGUCUUAUUAGUAGGAGAAAAAGGGUUGAGCAUCAAUUCUAUUCCUAUUUGUAAUUUUUAUAGCUGUGUGCCCUGAGAAACCUUGCUAAUAUAAACAAGUACUGUGCCUAGGAAUGGAAGAGUUUUGUUGUAGCAAUAUCAUUCAAUUCUUGACCUCAAAAAAUUGGUUAACUUCAAAAAAUAUGAGCUGACUUCAGUUAGGCCCUCCUUCCUUUUUAUCAGAAGCAAAGAACCGAAAACCACCUGACUUGCCAAAGGGUCUGUUUACUUAAUCCUUAUUUUUUCACUUUUUCAGAUUCUGGGAAAUAUACCAGAUAGGUUUUACCAAGAUACCAAAUGACUAUGAAUUCGACCUGAUUUUUUCAAUGAGAUGUACCUUUCACCCGAUAUACUCAAAGUGUGGAGAAUAUCUAAACAUUGUUCAUUUCAUAAAUAGUUUUGGACCACAGUUGACCAUGAGUAACUGAAACUGCAGAAAGCAAAACCUCAAAUAAGGCAGGACUGCCAUGACGGUGGGGAUGCAGAGUGUUAUACAAUGUUAAUGUGAAAACCAAUCUGCCAAGAAAAAAAAAAAUCCGCUAAUCUACAGAGCGAAGCACAGAUGAGGAUGGACAACGAACACCCUGCCUGCAGUCCACAUAUUCCCGAGGACCAGCCUUUGAAGGAGGAAGACGUCAUCACCAGCAGAAUGGACUGUACCACCUGUGUUGUGUGGAUCAGCAUGAUGGAUGGAGAGGAGACCUGAAGAUGCUGCAAUGGCAAAUUUGCUCUACAUGGAGAUGCUAGAUGUCCUUAGACAUAAAGACCCACAAAAGGAUGCUGGAAGGGCGUGGCUGGACAGGGGUGGGGUGAAGGAGGAGCUGCAGAUGAGGAAGGAGUCAAGGUGUAGAAUUUGUCUCAAAUUAUUCUUCAAAGCUUCUCAGGUAGGAUUUGGGCAUUUGGGUGCAUUUCUAGAUGCUUCAGUCAGUUGAAGAAAACUGGGGAAACAGGUGCCCACAUGAUGUGGUGCAUUUUGGUUGUGUCUGUCACCUUGAGGCUCCCAUGCAUUGGUCUUCUAUUCUCAGUCCAAACAACUUUCAGCCCAAGUAGCACCCUAGCAAUUAAUUGUCCAAAUUCUACCUCGUUGUCUUUCUCCCUAGCCACAGAUUUCCUCCCCUCUCAGCUCAAAUAUUUCUUCAAACCAGCAUGUGUGGCAGGAGGGAGGUGGAGGAAGGCUAUGUGCCGUCUUUGUGGCCCAUGUUGAAGGUUUUCCAGGGUACAGGGUAGUGCCACGAUCUCUAGAUGUGCAUUAAGGGCUCUGGCUUCCACAUCUAUUUCUGCAGUAACUUUCUGUGCAACCUCUUGUCAUCAUUUCUCUUCUUCAUACUUUAAUUUACUUUUCUGUAAAACGAGCUGGAGCUGGAACAGAGUUUCAACUUUUUUUUUUUUUUUUUG